rnacentral:rRNA from 1 species
GACGAACGCUGGCGGCGUGCUUAACACAUGCAAGUCGAACGGAAAGGUCUCUUUCGGGGGGUACUCGAGUGGCGAACGGGUGAGUAACACGUGAGUAACCUGCCCUUGACUUUGGGAUAACUUCAGGAAACUGGGGCUAAUACCGGAUAGGAGCUCCUGCUGCAUGGUGGGGGUUGGAAAGUUUCGGCGGUUGGGGAUGGACUCGCGGCUUAUCAGCUUGUUGGUGGGGUAGUGGCUUACCAAGGCCUUGACGGGUAGCCGGCCUGAGAGGAUGACCGGCCACAUUGGGACUGAGAUACGGCCCAGACUCCUACGGGAGGCAGCAGUGGGGAAUAUUGCACAAUGGGUGGAAGCCUGAUGCAGCAACGCCGUGUGCGGGAUGACGGCCUUCGGGUUGUAAACCGCUUUCGCUCAUGACGAAGCUUUGUGUGACGGUAGUGGGUAAAGAAGCACCGGCUAACUACGUG